AUAAUCUGUGGCAUUUCAAGACUCCGACAGAGCGACAGAGUGAUUCUUUAUUUUUGUUAUUGUUUGAUAUAAAUCUUAUCGAUUUAAAAAGAAACAGAAGAAAGCAGGAAAAACUAAAUAGGUAUAUAAUUCCAGAAAAAUAUGUUUAAAAAGUUGGGUUAAAGGAUUUCUGUGUUAAUUUUAGCGUCAAUUCCUGAUAGAACGCAAAAAUGUUUACUCGCUAUUUGCCCAAGUCUAAAAACAAGUUAUUUGCUUUAUUUAUGUUUAUAACGCUUACGGUUAGUGCUUUGUAUCUUUAUUUGAACAAUUUGCAAGAGAAAAGUACUGUUCAAUCUUCGGGAGAGAGAUGUUUAACUGAAUUAUCGUCUCUGAAAUAUCAGUUGAAUGAGGUGACCCAGUAUAAAGAUCGUAUAGACAAAUUGUUAACAGAGACACAAAAAGCUCAUGAAUUAGACAAGGAACGGUUUAAGGACAUUAUGGAAAGUUGUGUUGCCAUGAAACAACAGUCUACAAUAUGUCAGAGUCAAUUUGAAGAUCUCCAAAGUGAGUGUAAAAAGGUUCGGGAUGACUACAACAAAUUGAAGAAAAGUUUAAAUAUAUGAAUCGCAACUGGUGAAGUAAUGAAAAUGAUUUUAAAAUAAGAAAUUACAAUUUACAACUUCUAUACAGGGUGUUAGGUAAAUGGGUAUAUGAGCCGGCAGUAGCCCAUGUUAACAUGGUCAUAUAAAUGGUAUGGUGAAGUCAGAAAUUAGAUAUAAUCAUUUUAUUUUUUUUUAAUUUUCAUACAAAAUAAAUUUUAUAAAAUCCGAUUUGUAUGAAAAUUAAAAUAAUUAAAAUGAAGAUAUCAAUUUUCUAACUUCACCAUACCAUUUAUAUGACCAUGUUAACAUGGGCUAGUGUCGGCUCAUAUACCCAUUUACCUAACACCCUGUAUUUUGAAUAUUGUGUUACAUGUAUAACUAGUCAUAUAUUCAAUUUUUUAUGUAUUAUUAAACAAUAUACAGGGUGUUUGGCGCAUCGUGUGCCAAAAUGAUUUGGCGGAUAGAAUGGGUCAUUUCCUAUAUUUUCAGCCCCCAUAACACGUUCCAUGUCAGGCGGCUACUUUUAUAUUAAUUUUUUUAGUAAUUUCACCAAAAUACCCAAAUCGAAUCAUUUAAUUUCGAUUUAAAAAAAAACUACUAGGCGUAGCCUCAAAGUAAAUAUUUUGUUUUGACGUGCAUUGAUGUAGGGUUGCAUCAAAUCUAAAUUACUGGCAAAUAUCAUCCAGUUUUUUUUUAAUUCAGCUUUGAAGUUUUCCUAAAAGUUAAAAAUGGACUGAACAUUUAAGUUUACAUGGCUAUAAAAAAAUAAAUAAAAGAGAUAGCGAUCUUCGGAUUUUAUCAAAACUUCUCUAGUCUAUCCCCAUUUAAACGGUAUACUAAUCUUGUUUAAAUAAUAACAAUAACUUCACAAAUUCCUUAAAUUAGUGCAUUGACUCUACUCGGACUGAUUUGCGAAAUUUGUGUUUAUAGCCCCUUUUGUGUGAAUAGCACUUUAUUAAACACCUAACAGGUAAACAUUAUUUAUCUUAUGCAAUGUAAAAACCUUUACCCUAUCGUUUUUCAAUGUGGAUUUCUUGAAAUUAAAGACGGAAAUAAUUAUUUUGAUCGUUUAUUAAUUAUUACAAAUUUUGUUCAAAAUGACCGUCUCGGCAACGUAUACACUCACGACAUCUUCUUCUAAUUUUAACUGUUGUCGUAUGCAGCCACAUUUCUCUUUUUAUUACUACAAAGGCGUUUUCUACUCGUGGAUUGGAAGAGAUGGCCCUAUACAGUGGCCUGCACGUUCCCCAGACCUAAUUCCGUUAGAUUUUUACGUCUGGGGACGAGCUAAAGAACUGGUGUACGUAACGGAUUCAAACAAUAGAAGAACUACAACAACGAAUAGAAAACGCCUUUGUAGUAAUAAAAAGAGAAAUGUGGCUGCAUACGACAACAGUCGAAAUUAGAAGAAGAUGUCGUGAGUGUAUACGUUGCCGAGGCGGACAUUUUGAACAAAAUUUGUAAUAAUUAAUAAACGAUCAAAAUAAUUAUUUUCGUCCUUAAAUUCAAGAAAUCCACAUUGAAAAACGAUAGGGAAAAGGUUUUUACAUUGCAUAAGAUAAAUAUUUUUUACCUGUUAGGUGUUUAAUAACGUGCUAUUCACACAAAAGGGGCUAUAAACACAAAUUUCGCAAAUCAGUCCGAGUAGAGUCAAUGCACUAAUUUAAGGAAUUUGUGAAGUUAUUGUUAUUAUUUAAACAAGAUUAGUAUACCGUUUAAAUGGAGAUAGACUAGAGAAGUUUUGAUAAAAUCCGAAGAUCGCUAUCUCUUUUAUUUAUUUUUUUAUAGCCAUGUAAACUUAAAUGUUCAGUCCAUUUUUAACUUUUAGAAAAACUUCAAAACUGAAUUUAAAAAAAACUAGAUGAUAUUUGCCAGUAAAUUUAGAUUUGAUGCAACCCUACAUCAAUGCACGUCAAAACAAAAUAUUUACUUUGAGGCUACGCCUAGUAGUUUUUUUUAAAUCGAAAUUAAAUGAUGCGAUUUGGGUAUUUUGGUGAAAUUACUAAAAAAAUUAAUAUAAAAGUAGCCGCCCGGCAUGGAACGUGUUAUGGGGGCUGAAAAUAUAGGAAAUGACCCAUUCUAUCUGCCAAAUCAUUUUGGCACACGAUGCGCCAAACACCCUGUAUUUUAUUAUAUUGUACUACAAUUAAAUAACAAAGAAAUUAGACCUUCAACUCGUAUGUUAUCAUACUAUUUAUUUAGGUAGAUUUUUUAAUAGUGAUAUAUUUAUUCUAUCAAUUGUUUCAUAUGAUUACUUUAACUAUUUUAUUGAUGUCUGUAUCGGAAAAAUUGAGAUGUAAUUAAUUUAAAAAAUACUGACUAAUAUAUUCAUUGAUGGUGAAAGUCAGGUUGGCAAACAUUUAAACAAUAGAUUACUGAUCAUGUAUCAUAGAACAGUUGGGAACCAGCGGCAGGCAUUUCCUCUUGUAAUAAAUGAAUGUCUUUUUAUCAACAAUAUUUAUGAUUGAUGCAUUUUAUACAAAUACAUUUUAUAGCUUUACACCGCAAGGGGAAAUUAAAUGCCAAAAUGGCACUAUGGGAACAUUAUCUAGGUACUUAAAUUUGAGGAGAGAAAAAAAGACUUAUGAUCUUGGAUUCGAGAUGGUUAUCUCAGUUUAUUAUUUACAAAAUUUUGCCGACUUGUCCUUCACCUUCUGUAAUGUUAUAUUUCAUGUAGAUAUAGUAGUUCAGAUGUAAAUAGUGUUUGUAGGUUGUAGCUACAUUUAGAAGCCAGCAGGCUGAAAAACAAGCUAUUGGAAAUUAUUAUGUAUUUUAUUGUAAUUUAUUUUCAUCAUUAACAGUUUGUAUGCAUUUAAAUCCCACUUGUAAAACAACAAAAACCUUACUGAGUAGCAAGUGCAGAAAGGUUGAAUUACAUGUUACAUGUUUUUUAAUGAUAUAACUUGUACGUUAAAAUUUGAGUAUAAAAUAAUAAUACAUAUUUCUGUCACACUCGCCAUCCAAGAAAUUUUACUUUUUAAUUUUUUUUUAAAGAAUACCUGACUCUGUUUUGCUCGUAAAAAUUAGAUUGAAAUAGUUCUAUCUACCUACAUAGUUAAUACAUAUUAUAAUAACUCUACAUUGUCUAUGAAGUGUAAUCUUUUACUAACAUUUAUAAAAAUAUGAAAGCAUAGAAAAUUGAUGUCCUUAACAAAAAUUUUAAAUACAUAUAUUUAGAGAAACAUUGCUCAAAGAAGCGUUAAUGUAUAAUGAAAAUGUUUUUCGGACAAUAAAAUGAUAGAUUUGAAAGUUUGU